rnacentral:rRNA from 1 species
UACAGAGGUGGCAAGCGUUGUUCGGAAUUACUGGGCGUAAAGGGCGCGUAGGCGGUCUUGUAAGUCUUGUGUGAAAUCCCUCGGCUCAACUGAGGAACUGCACGGGAUACUGCGAGACUUGAGUUCGGGAGAGGGAAGCGGAAUUCCGGGUGUAGCGGUGAAAUGCGUAGAGAUGUGGAGGAACACCGAUGGCGAAGGCAGCCCCCUGGGUUAACACUGACGCUCAGGCACGAAAGCGUGGGGAGCAAACAGG